GACGAACGCUGGCGGCGUGCCUAAUACAUGCAAGUCGUACGCACUGAAGGAGAGCUUGCUCUUCUGACGUGAGUGGCGAACGGGUGAGUAACACGUGGGAAACCUACCCUUCAGCGGGGGAUAACCAUCGGAAACGAUGACUAAUACCGCAUAGACGAUAGAACCGCCUGGUUCAAUCGGGAAAGAUGGCUUCGGCUAUCACUGAAGGAUGGUCCCGCGCUGCAUUAGCUAGUUGGUAAGGUAACGGCUUACCAAGGCCAUGAUGCAUAGCCGACCUGAGAGGGUGAUCGGCCACAUUGGGACUGAGACACGGCCCAA
rnacentral:rRNA from 1 species